rnacentral:lncRNA from 1 species
CCUCACUUACCCCUUCGCCCACUAGACUAUAAAUAGACCUCCUCCUCCCCAUUUUUAGGGUUAGCAAAGUGAUAGCUCAUUCUUAGGUGAGCUUUGCUCCUACCUAUCUCUACUCUUGAGAGAGAGAGAGAGACCACUACUCCAUUGGAGGCCAAGACCUCCAUCUAGGAGAAGAUCCCGUGGGAUAUCAUCAAGAUCCCCUUGUGGGAAGAUCCAUCUAGGAUAUCAUCAAGACCUCCUCUUGGAGAUGAACCUUACCUUGUAUCUUUCCCUUUGUUGUUUAUGUACCAUGUGACCUUGUGUGUUUGAUUGUCUAGUGGAUGUGUGAUUUGGGCUUGUUCUUGAGUGUUUCCCCUUGUAAUUUCUCUCCGUUCUUCCCCGUGUUCAUCGUGUUCUUCGAGGGAUCCCACUCCAAACGUGAAAGAUCGCCGCUAUAGGGUUCCAUCCUACAUCAUAUGGUAUCAUGAGCCACGUUGAUCACGUUUUUGGAGCCCCUACCCCUCGUUUUCUAGCUUGAUUUUGUUGUUUUCGUCCUAAAUCCGAAAAUCCCCACCAAAAAUAGCCCCAAAUUUUUUUGUGAUUUGUUGGUUUGAUGAUGUUUUGUUGAUUUUGAUCCGUGGAUUUGCUUGGUUUCAAGUGGAUCUAGCUUUCCCCCAAGUUUCCCCACCUUCCAUCCACGAAAUCCCUCAAAUUUUGACCCCAAAAUCCCCAAAUUCCGCCCAAAAAUUCGUCUCCACGAGCAAAACCCGAGCAGUUUGAUCUGCCCGGAUCAUCCGGAAGAGCUCCCGGAUCAUCCGGAUCCACCCGGAUCAGCUGGACCAUCUCCCGGAUGUCCGGACGCCCCACACGACAGAAAUCCGGUAGACGAACCAGGAUCAUCCGGACCUACUCCCGGAUGUCCGGGUAACACUGACACUGCUUCGGCUGAAAUUUUGUUUUGGUCAUAACUAAUUCAUCCGGAGUCCGAUUUUGACGUUCUUUAGCUCGUUUUGAAGCUCUUGACAUCCCCCAUCCCACAAAAAUAUCACCAACAUCAUUUGACUCCAUCAUAUUUUCUAAAAUUUGGCAAGUUUGCCUAGGCCCUCCACCAUAUCAUCCGCAUUACCAUCACCGACUUCCGAAACCUAACCCAUUUUGUUCCCCGUUGCAUAUGUGGUUGUUUGAGUUGUGACUAGAGUCUCCUAAGGUGUUUCGGCUACUUAGGGAUGGUUGCUUCUUCUUCAACCACCACCUCCAUUUCCACAUAGACGUGCCCACCAUACACUUCCGCCACCCAAACCUAACCCAAUUGUUGUUUGAGCUUGUUUGAGUUGUGGCUUGUGUCUCCUAAGGUGUUUCGGCUACUUAGGGACGGCAACUUCAACUCCGACUCGUGUAUAGCCCAUCAUUCCACUUCCGCAUUGCCUAGUGCAACACCACCACCGCUUUCCGCUACCACCAUUUGACAUUUGACGUUUGAGAUUUUGAGUUUGCGGUUUUUCCGUUUCCUAAGGUGUUUCGGCUACUUAGGGACGAGUCUCCAUCAUCUUGGUAUCUACACCAAGAACACCGCCACUCAUCAUCGCAAAGGACGGUAACCUCGACGACACCUUUGUAUAUUCCCUUGCAAUUGCAUUGUUAACCCCUAGCCCAUUUUGCGUUACUUGCCUAUCGAGACUAGCCAUUUGAGUAUUGCCGGCAACGUUACUUGUGCACAUUAGUGAUCCACCAUCCAUUGCAUACAUACCAUAUCAUCUUGGUAUCAUAUCAUCCAUUGUGCCUCAAGUUUGUUCCCGCAUAUACACAAUUGCUAUCUUGGUUUGUGCAUUGUGCAAAAGUGGCCAUAGAAAAAAAAGAGAAAAAGCUUUUAAGCAAAAAGAGAGCAAAGAGCUCAUGAGCAAGUGCCAUAGCAUCAUACCCCAUUGCACAUAAGAGCCAUACCAAAAUCUACAUCAUAUGAUAUCAUGCUUGAGAGAAACACCGGGAACCAUACAUACAUAGCAUACUUGGGAUAGAAAGAAUAUCCAUUUUGCAUCUUAUAGGUUGUGCACAAGUGUCGUAUCCGCCUAUUGAGCAAUCGUGCUAGCGUCUCUCUUGAGUUGUGCAACACGAGCGUUUUCCAUGGAUUCCACAUUUUGUGCUCAUUCCUUGGUUGCACGACCCCAUUUAUCUAUCCGUGUGUGUGUUUCCGUGUGCCAUUCUUUGCUAUUGGUCCAUUUGUUUCGCUUGCGAAUUUGUGAAUCUCUUUCAACAUUAUUGACUCUUGCUAACAUUUUGCAUCAAAUUUUUGUGCCACUAUCCUCACCAAGCUCUACCAUAAGCUUUACUUGAUAGGUGUGAGUGAACAAGUCCGGUACCAAUUCCACUAUUCUUUCAUCUCACAUUGAGUGACACGGGAUACAUCCUCAACUUUGGGAAAAGGUAACUUGGUAUUGUUUAUCUCAUUUCCUACUCACCUCUACUCGAGUCUUGUGAUGGAUAGGCAAGGCAUUUCAUCUUCGGUCUACAACAACAACGACGAGUUCGAUGCCAUGAACAACAACUCCGACGCCAAGAUGCAAGCUAAAAUGGAGGAGAUCAAAGCCCUCAUCAAGUCCUACAAGCGAUCUUCCUCAUCUUUGAGAAGACUCUCAAGAGCACAUGCUUCCGAGCUACCAUCUCCGACAAGAUCACAUCGGCAUCGACACCAUCACAAACAAGAACGUGAAGGUCAAGAGCUCUACAUCAACAACCGCUCAAUGACUUCACCAUCUCCCUUGGCAUCUUCGCCAAGCGACUUCAAGGCAUUUUCGCCUACGGACAUACGGCAUCUUCGCCAACAAGAACCCCAAGACUACGCUCAAGAGAAGCUCCCCAAGCUCAAGUCCGCGACUUCCACGAGCUACUACGACCUCGACAUCGACCACGCGAUUCCUUUCUAUGGGACUCAAGAACCCGAGGAGUACCUCGAGUGGGAGCGUUCGAUGGACGACUACCUCAAGCUACAUCAAGUUCGUCCCGAAGAUCAAGUGAAGUGCGCCACAAGAAACUUCCACGACUACGCCUCGACAUGGUGGCUUCACACACCUUCGGAGAGCUACGAGAUGAGUUGGCCCAAGAUGAAGAGAGCUUUACGGCGAGAGUUUGUGCCUCCAACCUACACGGAACAACUUCGACACCAAUUGGAGAACACCACCCAAGGAUCCAAGUCCAUCGACAAGUACUUCAAGGAGAUGAUGAUUGCCUUGCGACGAGCCGGCGUGGACGACCCCAUUUCUAUGAAGUUCCACUUCAUGAUGGGAUUGCACAACGACAUCUCCAAGACCAUCUUCCUCGAGAACUACAAGUCCAUCGACGACUACUACAUUGGCGCUCUCAAGGCGGAACAAGAACUCAUGAAGGCCAAGGCUUCUCCACCCCAAGCAAACUUCGCGGCGACCAAGCUCUACGACAAGCAUGAGGCUAGUACCACCAAGAUGUCCAAGCCCGACGAGCUCCAAGACGAUGCUCCCAAGGACCAAGCUUUGGAGGCGAGCGACAAGGUGGCAAGCAAGGAUGAUGCUUCCAUCUUAGGAGGCGAGAGUGAUGAUGUGCCAUCUUCGGCCUUCAUCCACGACGAGAGUGAUGAUGUGCCAUCUUCGGCCUUCAUCCACGACGAGAGUGAUGAUGUGCCAUCUUCGGCCUUCAUCCAUGGCGACCACGACGAGAUGGUUGAGCAUGGGAUUUUCCCUUCGACCACAGCGACGUAUGAUGACUUGAGUGACUUGUGCCACCAUAUUGAGAGUGAGAGUGACUUCACCACUAGCCCCAUAUAUGUUGAGUUGCCACAAUUCACAUGUGAGGAGAGCCACAACCCCCACCACUUGAGUGAGAUGAGUGACUCCACCAUACGUGAGUUUGAGUGCACCUAUUUUGAGGGAGUGAGUGAACCACCACAUAGAGAGAGUGAGAUAGUUGAUAGGUCUCGUGAGGCCAUUUGCAUUUCUAACAACUUGACCUCUACCUCUAUUGUGUCUUCUCGUUUGGUGCUAGGUCCCAUUUAUGAUGACGCACCGAUCCUCGACGACUUCGUCCUCCCUUUGGACAAGACGAUGGCCAUGGUGGAUUAUGAUGCACCGCCCACAUGGUUCCAUCAAGAUGAUGAUGAUGACCACCAUUUGGUCUUUCCCACCUCACCUACACCACUUGAGUGGAAUGACAAAGGUAACAUAGGUGAAGGUGAUGCUCUAGUCCCACUAGUGGACAUUCUUGACAUUGAUUGCUUGCAUGAUGUUGAUCCACCUAUUGCCAUGCUUCAUGCUAGUAUGAUUUCCCCAUGCGAUGAUUUGCCCAUUUAUGAUGAGUAUGAUGAUUCUAUUGUGGAGUCUAUUAGUUGUGAUGCCAUGUUACAUAGGAUUUCUUGUGACAAUUCUUUAGGUCACAUCAUGUUUGAAAAUCCGCUUGACUUGUCAUAUGCUAUGCAUGAGAUCAACCAUAUGUCUUAUUUGCAAUCUCUUCAUAGUGACUAUGCAUAUGCCAUUAAAAUAAACCCAAUUUGCACAUAUGGCAUAGAUGACAAGCCCAUGGUUAUUGGCAUUUGUUUCUCUUGUGAUGAUAUUGAUAUGCUCCAUUUGCAUCAUUUAUCUCAUAUGCCAUGCCAUGACCACCUAGCUUCGAAUAUGCAUUGUUUUGGAUGUUGUCCAUUUUCUCCAUAUGAUGUUUCCGAUAUUGCUCAUGAGGAGACCCCCAUAGUUUCCUCAUACAUUUUAGGAGAUUUUGACCCAUCCCAUCCAUUGCAUCAUCCCAAUACUUGUGUGCACCAUAUGCUCCCCAUGAAUAAACAUGCUUUUGAUGUGCCAUAUACUUGUUUGCUCAAUUUGUGUCCCCAUUGUGUCAUACAUAACAACUAUUCUUUCAUGAUAGAUGACAUGUUCUUAUACCAUGCAUCAAAUUUCUUUGAGCGAUGCUUAUCUUGUGCUAACUCACACGUGCACAUACACAUCAUGAUGGAUGAUGUGUACAUUUACCACGCACACAAUUUCUUUGGAUUGUGUCUCUUUUGUGUAGGUACCCAUGAAUACUUGUCAACCUCGCAAUCCCACGAGUUGACAAAACGAUCUCUAGAGAGCAACGAUGAAUUGGGAUCACGUGGAUUGUCUUUACCACCGUCCCCUUCGUGCAAGGACUACACGCAACUCCUCUACUUGUCUCUCACACGGCUAUGGGCCAUUUACCACUUCUCACAUUAUGCUCAUUUUACCGUGUUCACUUUGCAUGCUAUGCUUGCUUCUAUGCCUUUGCCAUGCAAUUGUGACCCUUGCUUGCAUCUACCCAUGAUUCUACAUUAUGAUAUUCCUAUGUGUAUUUGCAUGCUUGGUGGAGAUCCUUGUUGCUUUUGCCAUGUUUAUCAUGUGCCCCAUUCUAUUGAUGCUAUUUGUGUUGGGAGAGUCAUGAUGACCCAUUGCUAUUCACAUAUGGCCUCUCGCCAAUACAUUCAUGAUAUUGUACUCAUAUCUUGCUUUCAUGCUUGUGCUAUGACUUGCGAAUUAUUCAUGCCCACUAUUUGCACCAAUGACAUAUUUGCCAUGAUUCCUCCUAGUAUGUUGCAUCUUCGCACUACUAGCUUGCUUGAUUUGAUAGCUAUGAAUGCUCGCUAUAUUGCAUCACCCAUGUUCCACUACUUUCUUUCUUGGGUUGAUGACAUAUAUGCUCAUGCCUCUCACAUGAUAUAUCUUGAUCAUUGUCCCUUUGCUUAUCACAUGCUUGACUUGAUUGCCUCACACAUGAUGAACAAUUGCUCUUUCCAUUGUGUUGAGUGCCACGAUAUCUUCACUACACACUAUGCACGUUAUGCUUGGAUUGUCUUGCACUUGCCCCAUGUGUUUAGACAUUUCACUAUAUUUGCUGUUGUGAAUGACUCUUAUGCCUACCAUAGGCCGUUCAUUGAGCUCUUUACGCAUGCUUGCUAUGACCUUGAGGUAGAUGCUUGUUCACUUAUCACAUAUAUUUGCAUCUUGACCUCCCAUUUACAUGCUUGUUCCCAUGAUGUACUUGAUUGUGCUCAAUUUAUAUGUCCAAAUGUCAUGACACACUCCUUUGUCAAACCAUAUGCUAUGCUUGAUGACAACACUUGUUGGGUGAAUCACCUCUUGAAUGCUUGGUUUUGCUCUUACGACAACAACAUUUGUUUUUCCAAGUGCUUGUUAUCUUUGCUACUUUUGAAGGAAUUACAAUACGGUGUGACACUGGAGAGUGCCUAUUUGGAACUUCAAGAUGACAAGAACUUGGUGAUCAAACACUUCUACACGACAACGCCAUCUCUUUCGCAUGGUGAUUUGGUUUUUGAUCCGAGGUCGGAUCUUUCCCAAGGGGGAGGGGAUGAUGCGGAGCAUCCUACGGACAUCACCACGUCAAGAGCCCAUUUGGCAAGUGACACGUGCGACAUCUACUUCACAUACACAAAGGUGAAUCAUCUCCUUUACACGUGCUCACUUGACACUCUCGAGGAUGGUAUACUACUUGACGUGUGCAUGCAUAGGUAUUGUCGGAGCUUCGCGGAUGUCAAGGAGGAGUGCAAGCGCCAAGGAACGACUACACCAUCCGCGAGGGAAGCGUGGAAGAGAAGACGGAAGAAAGGAGAAGAAGACGGAGCGGCUGCAGGAGCCAGGCCGGACAUCCGGGCCGCCGUCCGGAUCAUCCGGGCUCAGCCGGAUCAUCCGGGUCCCCCUCCGGAUCAUCCGGAUAAUUCGUCCGAAGACACCCGAAGGCCUCAUGUGAAGCCGGAUCAUCCGGGCCCCCUCCCGGAUCAUCCGGAUGAUGGCCGGAUCAUCUGGGCCCCCUCCCGGAUCAUCCGGACGAUGGCCGGAUCAUCCAGACCCCCUUCCGGAUCAUCCGGGCCUUGCCUGCGUGCAACGUUUCGGGCCGAGGCCCAUGUACCCAUUCGCCCCCUCACUUACCCCUUCGCCCACUAGACUAUAAAAAGACCUCCUCCUCCCCAUUUUUAGGGUUAGCAAAGUGAUAGCUCAUUCUUAGGUGAGCUUUGCUCCUACCUAUCUCUACUCUUGAGAGAGAGAGAGACCACUACUCCAUUGGAGGCCAAGACCUCCAUCUAGGAGAAGAUCCCGUGGGAUAUCAUCAAGACCCCCUUGUGGGAAGAUCCAUCUAGGAUAUCAUCAAGACCUCCUCUUGGAGAUGAACCUUACCUUGUAUCUUUCCCUUUGUUGUUCAUGUACCUUGUGACCUUGUGUGUUUGAUUGUCUAGUGGAUGUGUG